rnacentral:miRNA from 1 species
UAUAAAACAAAUAAUGAAUGUUUUUAUUCGUGCAAUGGUAAGAAUAUUUUCAUUCGGUGAAAGAUGGAAUGUUCCAUUCAACUCGGCUGUCGCCUCGUUCAAUGGAACAUUCCAUCUUUCACCUCAUGAAAAUAUUCUUACCAUUGCACGAAUAAAAACAUUCAUUAUUUAUAUAAUA